rnacentral:lncRNA from 1 species
AUUUCUCAUGCAUUCUCUCUCUCUCCUCUCCUGUUUAUGAACUGUGUUUUUGUGUAUUCGUAAUUCGGGUUAGAUUCAUUAAAGUGCAGAGAGUAAAGGAGGUUAAGCCCUAAUUCUUCGAAAUCGUGUGUGUUAUUUCGAGGUUGAAUGUGAUUUUUGAUUUUACGAGUUUCGGAGCGUUUUGCAGAUAGAUCAAUGGCGGGGAACCAACGAGAAGAUUCGGUGUCGGGUACGCGCUCGCGCGGAAGAAAC